GUGCUUGCUUCAGCAGCAUGUAUACUAAAAUUAGAAUGAUACAGAAAAGAUUAGCAUGGCCUCUGUGCAAGGAUGACAUGCAAAUUCAUGAAGCAUUCCAUAUUUUU